CUACGGGGCGCAGCAGUGAGGAAUAUUGGUCAAUGGAGGCAACUCUGAACCAGCCAUGCCGCGUGAAGGAUGACGGCCCUAUGGGUUGUAAACUUCUUUUGAAUAGGAAGAAACUUAUCUACGUGUAGAUAACUGACGGUACUAUUAGAAUAAGGAUCGGCUAACUCCGUGCCAGCAGCCGCGGUAAUACGGAGGAUCCAAGCGUUAUCCGGAUUCAUUGGGUUUAAAGGGUCCGUAGGCGGGUCUUUAAGUCAGUGGUGAAAGCCGACAGCUCAACUGUCGAACUGCCAUUGAUACUGGAGACCUUGAGUACAAAUGAAGUAGGCGGAAUGAGUCAUGUAGCGGUGAAAUGCAUAGAUAUGACUCAGAACACCGAUUGCGAAGGCAGCUUACUAACAUGUAACUGACGCUGAGGGACGAAAGCGUGGGGAGCGAACAGGAUUAGAUACCCCCGUAGUC
rnacentral:rRNA from 1 species